GAGCACGUAGGUGGGUUUGUAAGUCAGGUGUGAAAGCCUUCUGUUCAAAGGAAGAACGGCAUCUGAAACUACAGAUCUUGAGUGUAGGAGGGGAGAGUGGAACUUCUGGUGGAGCGGUGAAAUGCGUAGAUAUCAGAAGGAACGUCGGCGGCGAAAGCGACUCUCUGGCCUAUUACUGACACUGAGGUGCGAAAGUUAGGGGAGCAAACGGGAUUAGAUACCCCGGUAGUCCUAACCGUAAACGAUGGGCACUAAGUAGAGGGAAUUACCAAUGUUCUCUCUGCCGUAGCUAACGCAUUAAGUGCCCCGCCUGGGGAGUACGGCCGCAAGGCUAAAACUCAAAAGAAUUGACGGGGGCUCGCACAAGCGGUGGAGCAUGUGGCUUAAUUCGAUGCAACGCGAAAAACCUUACCGGGGUUUGACAUGGUAGAAGUAGGAGCCCGAAAGGGUAACCAACGGUAUCCAGUCCGUAACUAUUACAGGUGUUGUAUGGCUGUCGACAGCUCGUGUCGUGAGACGUUGGGUUAAGUCCCCUAACGAGCGAAACCCUUGUUUUUAGUUACCAUCGGGUAGUGCCGGGUACUCUAAAAAGACUGCCGUCGUCAAGACGGAGGAAGGUGGGGAUGACGUCAAGUCAUCAUGGCCCUUAUACCCCGGGCUGCACACGUGCUACAAUGGUCGGUACAAAAGGAAGCAAGACCGAGAGGUGAAGCGAAUCC
rnacentral:rRNA from 1 species